CCUACGGUGUGCAGCAGUAGGGAAUUUUCGUCAAUGGGCGCAAGCCUGAACGAGCAAUGCCGCGUGAACGAGGAAGGUCUUCGGAUCGUAAAGUUCUGUUGAAGGGGAAAAAGAGCGGAGAGAGGAAAUGAACUCCGAUUGAGAUUACCAUUCGAGGAAGUCACGGCUAACGACGGGCAAGCAGCCGAGGUAAUACGUAGGUGGCGAGCGUUAUCCGGAAUGAUUGGGCGGAAAGGGGGCGUAGGCGGCCUGCUAAGUCUGGAGUGAAAGGGACCGGCUCAACCAUUGUAUGCAUUGGAAACUGGUAGACUUGAGUGCAUGAGAGGAGAGUGGAAUUCCAUGUGUAGCGGUGAAAUGCGUAGAUAUAUGGAGGAACACCGGUGGCGAAAGCGGCCUGCUGGACUGCAACUGACGUUGAGGCCCGAAAGCGUGGGGAGCAAACAGGAUUAGAUACCCCGGUAGUC
rnacentral:rRNA from 1 species